rnacentral:rRNA from 1 species
UACAGAGGGUGCGAGCGUUGUUCGGAAUUAUUGGGCGUAAAGCGCUUGUAGGCGGCGCGGUAAGUCUCGUGUGAAAGCUCCAGGCUCAACCUGGAAAGUGCGCGAGAAACUACCGUGCUUGAGUGUCGGAGAGGGUGGCGGAAUUCCCGGUGUAGAGGUGAAAUUCGUAGAUAUCGGGAGGAACACCAGAGGCGAAGGCGGCCACCUGGACGAGCACUGACGCUGAGAAGCGAAAGCGUGGGGAGCAAACAGGAUUAGAUACCCUGGUAGUCCACGCCGUAAACGAUGGAUGCUAGCUGUGUCGGGAGUUGACCCCUGACGUGGCGACGCCAACGCAAUAAGCAUCCCGCCUGGGAAGUACGGCCGCAAGGCUAAA